UUAAAUGAAUGACGGGGAGCACCACAACGGGUGGAGCUUGCGGUUUAAUUGGAUUCAACGCCGGAAAUCUUACCGGGACCGACAGCAAUAUGAAGGCCAGGCUGAAGACUUUGCCGGAUUAGCUGAGAGGUGGUGCAUGGCCGUCGUCAGUUCGUACUGUGAAGCAUCCUGUUAAGUCAGGCAACGAGCGAGACCCACGCCCACAGUUGCCAGCGUACUCUCUGGAGUGACGGGUACACUGUGGGGACCGCCGCUGCUAAAGCGGAGGAAGGAAUGGGCAACGGUAGGUCAGUAUGCCCCGAAUAUCCCGGGCUACACGCGAGCUACAAUGGUUGGUACAAUGGGUAUCUACCCCGAAAGGGGACGGGAAUCUCCUAAAACCAAUCUUAGUUCGGAUUGAGGGCUGUAACUCGCCCUCAUGAAGCUGGAAUCCGUAGUAAUCGCGUUUCAACAGAACGCGGUGAAUACGUCCCUGCUCCUU
rnacentral:rRNA from 1 species